rnacentral:rRNA from 1 species
AUUGAACGCUGGCGGCAGGCCUAACACAUGCAAGUCGGACGGUAGCACAGAGGAGCUUGCUCUUUGGGUGGCGAGUGGCGGACGGGUGAGUAAUGUCUGGGAAACUGCCCGAUGGAGGGGGAUAACUACUGGAAACGGUAGCUAAUACCGCAUAACGUCGCAAGACCAAAGUGGGGGACCUUCGGGCCUCACACCAUCGGAUGUGCCCAGAUGGGAUUAGCUAGUAGGUGGGGUAAUGGCUCACCUAGGCGACGAUCCCUAGCUGGUCUGAGAGGAUGACCAGCCACACUGGAACUGAGACACGGUCCAGACUCCUACGGGAGGCAGCAGUGGGGAAUAUUGCACAAUGGGCACAAGCCUGAUGCAGCCAUGCCGCGUGUAUGAAGAAGGCCUUCGGGUUGUAAAGUACUUUCAGCGGGGAGGAAGGCGGUGAGGUUAAUAACCUUGCCGAUUGACGUUACCCGCAGAAGAAGCACCGGCUAACUCCGUGCCAGCCGCCGCAGUAA